rnacentral:rRNA from 1 species
CCCUUAGAUGUUCUGGGCUGCACGCGUGCUACAAUGGCGUUUCCAGCAAGUCUGCGAACCCGAGAGGGCCAGCGGAUCUUCGAAUUGGCGUCGUGAUCGGGACAGUCGAUUGCAAUUAUUUGACUCAAACGAGGAAUUCCUUGUAAUCGCGAUUCAUCAUAUCGCGCUGAAUACGUCCCUGCCCUUUGUACACACCGCCCGUCGCUCCUACCGAUUGAGCGAUCCGGUGAAUGUUUUGGACUGGCGUCAGAAGCGGUUCGCUCCUGACACUACGAAAUUUUGUAAACCUUAUCGCUUAGAGGAAGGAAAAGUCGUAACA